rnacentral:rRNA from 1 species
GACGAACGCUGGCGGCGUGCUUAACACAUGCAAGUCGAACGGAAAGGCCCUGCUUUUGUGGGGUGCUCGAGUGGCGAACGGGUGAGUAACACGUGAGUAACCUGCCCUUGACUUUGGGAUAACUUCAGGAAACUGGGGCUAAUACCGGAUAGGAGCUCCUGCUGCAUGGUGGGGGUUGGAAAGUUUCGGCGGUUGGGGAUGGACUCGCGGCUUAUCAGCUUGUUGGUGGGGUAGUGGCUUACCAAGGCUUUGACGGGUAGCCGGCCUGAGAGGGUGACCGGCGACAUUGGGACUGAGAUACGCCCCAGACUCCUACGGGAGGCAGCAGUGGGGAAUAUUGCACAAUGGGCGGAAGCCUGAUGCAGCAGCGUCGCGUGCGGGAUGACGGCCUUCGGGUUAUAAACCGCUUUCGCCUGUGACGAAGCGUGAGUGACGGUAAUGGGUAAAGAAGCACCGGCUAACUGCGUG